rnacentral:rRNA from 1 species
ACGGAGGGUGCAAGCGUUAAUCGGAAUUACUGGGCGUAAAGCGCACGCAGGCGGUUUGUUCAGUCCGAUUUGAAAUCCCCGGGCUCAACCUGGGAACUGCAUCUGAUACUGGCAAGCUUGAGUCUCGUAGAGGGGGGUAGAAUUCCAGGUGGAGAGGGGAAAUGCGGAGAGAUCUGGAGGAAGACCGGUGGCGAAGGCGGCACACUGGACGAAGACUGAAGCUCAGGUGCGAAAGCGUGGGGAGCAAACAG